rnacentral:rRNA from 1 species
AAAUUGAAGAGUUUGAUCAUGGCUCAGAUUGAACGCUGGCGGCAGGCCUAACACAUGCAAGUCGAGCGGAAACGAGUUAUCAGAACCUUCGGGGAACGAUAACGGCGUCGAGCGGCGGACGGGUGAGUAAUGCCUAGGAAAUUGCCCUGAUGUGGGGGAUAACCAUUGGAAACGAUGGCUAAUACCGCAUGAUGCCUACGGGCCAAAGAGGGGGACCUUCGGGCCUCUCGCGUCAGGAUAUGCCUAGGUGGGAUUAGCUAGUUGGUGAGGUAAGGGCUCACCAAGGCGACGAUCCCUAGCUGGUCUGAGAGGAUGAUCAGCCACAC